GACGAACGCUGGCGGCGUGCCUAAUACAUGCCAGUUGAGCGAUGAAGAUUGGUGCUUGCACCAAUUUGAAGAGCAGCGAACGGGUGAGUAACGCGUGGGGAAUCUGCCUUUGAGCGGGGGACAACAUUUGGAAACGAAUGCUAAUACCACAUAACAACUUUAAACAUAAGUUUUAAGUUUGAAAGAUGCAAUUGCAUCACUCAAAGAUGAUCCCGCGUUGUAUUAGCUAGUUGGUGAGGUAAAGGCUCACCAAGGCGAUGAUACAUAGCCGACCUGAGAGGGUGAUCGGCCACAUUGGGACUGAGACACGGCCCAAACUCCUACGGGAGGCAGCAGUAGGGAAUCUUCGGCAAUGGACGAAAGUCUGACCGAGCAACGCCGCGUGAGUGAAGAAGGUUUUCGGAUCGUAAAACUCUGUUGGUAGAGAAGAACGUUGGUGAGAGUGGAAAGCUCAUCAAGUGACGGUAACUACCCAGAAAGGGACGGCUAACUACGUG
rnacentral:rRNA from 1 species